AGAGCCAUGGAACUCGCAACCAUACAACAAGAGCCACACAGCCUUAUUCUUACAUAUCGACAACCCCCUAUAUACUGUAAACAGCCAUUAUGGGUUAAUGAAGGGCUGAAGAGAAAUGCAGGAAAAUCCAGCAUCUUGCCACUACCACGCCUAACCAAAA